rfam:Mesocricetus auratus contig220141, whole genome shotgun sequence.
GGGUCUAUGAUGACAAACCAAAGUCAUGAAGAGAGGUGAUGACAUAAAUAUCAUGCUCAGGUUCCGGCUGCUGAGGCCC